UAGUACCAUCACAUAGACAACCAAUAUCAAAAAGUUUCUCCAAACAAAAAAAAAUUAAUAGUUCAAACGGUAUCCUCUAUUUUUUUCUGCAAGUCAUGUCCAAACUUUUGUAUUCGUAUUUGCUCAUCUCCAUGUUUGUUUUCUCAGCUUUGGCAACUUCAGAGGGAGAUGGACCAAAAAGGUGUAGUGCAAUCAUAAAUCUUACCAAACCAUGCAAUUUUCAAGAAUGCAAAACAUUUUGUGGUACGAAGUUCGCCGGGAAUGGCCUUUGCCCCGAACAUAACAAAAAUAUGUGUGCUUGUGUUUACGAUUGCUAAGCUGAGAAAUAUCUCUUAUCUCGUAUAUUGUUCCGAUAGGAUAGAAUAUGCGAGACUUUAAAUGUUAUAAUAUCUUAGUUA